GGUGGGGUGCCAGGAAGUAAAAGAAGAGAGAGAAGAAAGGAAAAAGAAAGGGGAGGAAGAAGGAGAAGGAAAAAGGAGAAGGAAAAGAAGGAGGAAGAAAAAGAAAAAAAAGAAGAGAAAGAGAGGGAAGGGAGGGGAAAAAGAUGGCGAAAUUUUCGGGAUUCGUCUGCGCGCGGUGACGGAGUGACGGGCACGCGGCGAAAAUUACGGGGAGUGGAAAAUGGGGAAUUGACGGGUCGGGGCCAUGACGGCGGGUCCGACGGAUGUGAAAGGAUUUGACGGAGCUCGGCGGUCGGAAAAAUUUUGGAAAGUGUUUUUAACGGGUGAUUUAACCGGGUGUAUUUUACGGGCGUUACAUCAACGUUGCCCUCUGAUGUUAUUCCUGCACUCAGUUAUACCUCUCUCUCAAGUGUUUAGCAUUAGAGUUUAAGUUGUG
rnacentral:lncRNA from 1 species